rnacentral:rRNA from 2 species
UACGUAGGGUCCGAGCGUUGUCCGGAAUUACUGGGCGUAAAGAGCUCGUAGGUGGUUUGUCACGUUGUUCGUGAAAACCCACAGCUUAACUGUGGGCGUGCGGGCGAUACGGGCAGACUAGAGUACUGCAGGGGAGACUGGAAUUCCUGGUGUAGCGGUGGAAUGCGCAGAUAUCAGGAGGAACACCGGUGGCGAAGGCGGGUCUCUGGGCAGUAACUGACGCUGAGGAGCGAAAGCGUGGGUAGCGAAC